rnacentral:rRNA from 1 species
AACGUAGGAGACAAACGUUAUCCGGAGUUACUGGGCGUAAAGGGCGUGUAGGUGGUAGAGUAAGUCUGGCGUGAAAUUCUUCGGCUUAACCGGGAAAGGUCGUCGGAUACUGCUUAACUAGAGGACGGUAGAGGCGUGUGGAAUUCCGGGUGUAGUGGUGAAAUGCGUAGAGAUCCGGAGGAACACCAGUGGCGAAGGCGACACGCUGGGCCGUACCUGACACUGAUGCGCGACAGCAUGGGGAGCAAACAGG